rnacentral:rRNA from 1 species
GCAGCACGGAGCUUGCUCUGGUGGCGAGUGGCGAACGGGUGANUAAUGCGUCGGAACGUAUCCAAUAAUGGGGGAUAACGCAGCGAAAGCUGUGCUAAUACCGCAUACGCCCUCCGGGGGAAAGCAGGGGAUCUUCGGACCUUGCGUUAAUGGAGCGGCCGACGUCUGAUUAGCUAGUUGGUAGGGUAAAGGCCUACCAAGGCGACGAUCAGUAGCUGGUCUGAGAGGAUGAUCAGCCACACUGGGACUGAGACACGGCCCAGACUCCUACGGGAGGCAGCAGUGGGGAAUUUUGGACAAUGGGCGCAAGCCUGAUCCAGCCAUUCCGCGUGAGUGAAGAAGGCCUUCGGGUUGUAAAGCUCUUUCAGGAGGGAAGAAACGAUUGUGGCUAAUACCCAUGAUUAAUGACGGUACCUUCAGAAGAAGCACCGGCUAACUACGUGCCAGCAGCCGCGGUAAUACGUAGGGUGCGAGCGUUAAUCGGAAUUACUGGGCGUAAAGCGUGCGCAGGCGGUUUUUCAAGUCUGAUGUGAAAUCCCCGGGCUUAACCUGGGAACUGCGUUGGAAACUGAAAGACUAGAGUGCGGCAGAGGGGGGUAGAAUUCCACGUGUAGCAGUGAAAUGCGUAGAUAUGUGGAGGAAUACCGAUGGCGAAGGCAGCCCCCUGGGUCGACACUGACGCUCAUGCACGAAAGCGUGGGUAGCAAACAGGAUUAGAUACCCUGGUAGUCCACGCCCUAAACGAUGUCGACUAGUUGUUGGGGAGGGAGACCUCCUUAGUAACGCAGCUAACGCGUGAAGUUGACCGCCUGGGGAGUACGGUCGCAAGAUUAAAACUCNAAGGAAUUGACGGGGGCCCGCACAAGCGGUGGNUUAUGUGGAUUNAUUCGAUGCNNCGCGAAAAACCUUACCUACCCUUGACNUGUACGGAAC